AGUGAACGCUGGCGGUAGGCCUAACACAUGCAAGUCGAACGGCAGCACAGUAAGAGCUUGCUCUUACGGGUGGCGAGUGGCGGACGGGUGAGGAAUACAUCGGACUCUACUUUUUCGUGGGGGAUAACGUAGCGAAACUUACGCUAAUACAGCAUACGACCUACGGGUGAAAGCAGGGGAUCUUCGCACCUUGCGCGAUUGAAUGAGCCGAUGUCGGAUUAGCUAGUUGGCGGGGUAAAGGCCCACCAAGGCGACGAUCCGUAGCUGGUCUGAGAGGAUGGUCAGCCACACUGGAACUGAGACACGGUCCAGACUCCUAAGGGAGGCAGCAGAGGGGAAUAUUGGACAAUAGGCGCAAGCCUGAUACAGCGAGACCGCGUGUGUGAAGAAGGCGUUCGGGUUGUAAAGACCUUUUGUUGGGAAAGAAAAGCAGCAGGUUAAGACCCAGCUGUACUGACGGUACCGAAAGAAUAAGCACCGGCUAACUUCGUG
rnacentral:rRNA from 1 species